rnacentral:rRNA from 1 species
UACGUAGGGUGCAAGCGUUGUCCGGAAUUAUUGGGCGUAAAGAGCUCGUAGGCGGUUUGUCGCGUCUGCUGUGAAAACUCGGGGCUUAACCCUGGGCCUGCAGUGGGUACGGGCAGACUAGAGUGCGGUAGGGGAGACUGGAAUUCCUGGUGUAGCGGUGAAAUGCGCAGAUAUCAGGAGGAACACCGGUGGCGAAGGCGGUUCUCUGGGCAUGAUCUGACGCUGAGGAGCGAAAGUGUGGGGAGCGAACAGG